rnacentral:lncRNA from 1 species
AGACUCCAGUGUGCCGCGCAGUGUGCGCAAAUUCACAAACCCGCCCGCUGAGUUGGUCGUUUCGGAAUCCCGAGACUUGAAACCCAACGGGAAGACCCUUCUCACCCUCAAAAGAAGAUGACAGCCCGCAGAGAGUUAACUUCUGUUUACAUGGAACUCAGACAUCUGCAAAUCAUGAUUUCAAGGCCAGAGAAUGGCAGGGGAACAGAAACCCUCAAGUAAUCUCCUGGAGCAGUUUAUUUUACUAGCCAAAGGUACCAGUGGCUCAGCCCUCACUGCUCUCAUAAGCCAGGUCUUAGAGGCUCCCGGAGUGUAUGUCUUUGGAGAACUUCUGGAGCUGGCCAACGUGCAGGAGGUAAGAACGGUUUGCAAACAAUUUCUCUUUAUUCUAAGACUCUGUAAUUCUCCAGGUUUCCAAAGAAUUUCAGUGCUGAAGUAUUGUGAACCUGUGAGGUACCCUAUUGUGAGACAGAUGGGAAUUGGUGGGGCAGAGGGAGAGAUUGAGAGAAUAUCCUUGGCUCCUUUUAUCCAGUAUUUUUAUCUUACCUUG